rnacentral:lncRNA from 1 species
AAACACAUGUCAAUUAUGAUGUUCAAAUUAUAUGGGCAUAGGACCCAUCUAGGGUUUUCGAUUCGGAUUCCACAUUUGACCCAGUUUUAACUUUUAAGUUAACCAUUUAUCAUUUAUUUAAGUUGAGUUGAUCAAUUCUUAGAUUAAACCUAAUUCAAUUAGGUUAACUCCAAUUCGGUCACCCAUAACUUAAACCCUAAUCAUAUUAAGUAAAUGACAAAUUUGAUUAACCAAAAUUAAACUUAGCUUCUAAUCAAAUUAGAAUAAUGAUUUUGAUUUAAUCUACAAUCAUUAAACUCUAAUUAUAUUAGAACAAUGAAUUAUAGUUAAAUCAAUCCAUUAGCAAAAAUCCUAAUUGAUAUCUGAUGCAUCCUUUUCAUGAUCAAAAAUUUUUCGACCCCAUGCAUACCUCGGGCAACAACUAAGAUGGUCGACCCACAAUGGUGAGUCUCCAAUAACAUGGUGGUCGGCCCUUGGAUCUUAAGUAAAUGCAUCAAAUACAAAAACUUUAAUCCUUGGUAAUGUACAUUCAUAUACAGCAUUCUAAGACCCCCGCACAUCACAUGCACUGGAUUUCAAUUUUAUUGAAAAAUAGAUCAUAGGAUCUAAAUUAAACUUGUCACACACAUCUAAAAAUCAUGAAAUUUCAUAUCCAAAAUUUGGUCAUGGAUUGAUAACACUUUAUCAAAAAUAAAAAUGCAUCAAAAUUAUCAAGGAAACAUCAAUCAAAAAAACUGAUUUUGACAUAGUUCAAACUGGAUCUAAUCCAUAUCACAAAAAUAAUAUGAAAUUUGACUAAAUCUAUCAAGGGUGGCUCUAAUACACUAUUGGGUUUCGGUGAUGCAGUGAAAUAUAGGUUUUAAAAUUUUUUAACAUACAUACAAUAAUGAAAACUAAGUUUAAUAAUUAAACUCAUCCAUCGAAACUCAAAAAUCCUAGGAACCCCUUGACGAUUACAAUCAAAUAACAAACAUAUGCAUAUGAGAAGAAGACCAGAAGUCAUAUUCCACCAUGAAGACUAUGAACCGAUGAUUUUGAGAUCUUCACAAGACUUCAAAGCAGAAGCUCUCCAACGAUAAUCCACACAAAAUUGAUCAGGGCCCUUCCCAACUCGUCACGGUGCUGCAGCCUUCUUCGUAAGUGUACUGCUGAUAGUCCUUCGCAAGAACUUGAUGCACCAUUACUUGUAUGCCUUCAUGACCUCUACUAAAACUACUUUAGAAACCCUUUUCCAAAGUAUCAAACCAUACUCUAAUCAGAUUUUAUGUUCAACACAUGAACAAUCUAAUUUCUAGACAAGUAUCUCAUACUUUUUAUUUUUCUUCCUCUCUUCCUUUCUAUUUUUUCUUUCUUUUCUCUUUCUAUUUUUCACUUUAAAUUUUUACCACCUCAUCCUCAUCUAAUCCCACAUCCAAAACUAUUUUUGGAUAGAUUUUAUGCCAUAUAGGGUGCCCCUCAUAUAAGGGAUGAAGGGGCGCCACACAUGACACCAAGGGGCGCCAACUCUUGGCAUCCUAACUCGUAAACAUGGUGAAAAUAAAUUUUUAACAUAGAAACCAAGCAGUCAAAGCAUGGAAUAAGAAGAGUUUCAUUUGUAGAAGGACUCGUCCUCUACCAAAAAAAAUCUGAAUACCAAAAUAUGGCAUGUGGAAAGGGAGAACGUGUGGAAUUAAAGAGUCCAUGACAAGGUGGACUCUUCCACAUCCAACGCACAAAAUAAAUGACUUUAAUUUAUUUUAUGGUGUUCAAACUCCUUGUCAGAGAAGGAAACUUCCUUCUCUUUUGUGCCUAUAAUCUCAAGAGCUAUCUUAUGACACAAUGAAUUAAUAAACGCAUGGAGAAUAAAAGGAAGAAUGAAGAGUUUUAAAUGAAUUGGACUCUUCCAAUUCAAUUGCCAAAUAAUGGGGUGUCCCACAUUAAUUUUGGCAUGGAGUUCCUUCCAAGAGGACUCCACAUCCUCUUCCACAUCCCACAUCCCAAGGCACCAUCAGAUGGUGCACAAAUUCAAGGAACGAGUGGAACAUGUAAGAAUUUUAAGAUAAGGAGAAGGACUCCUCUCC